rnacentral:rRNA from 1 species
UACGGGGGGGGGCAAGCGUUGUUCGGAAUUACUGGGCGUAAAGGGCUCGUAGGUUGCCAACUAAGUCGGAUGUGAAAUCCCCAGGCUUAACCUGGGAACUGCGUCGGAUACUGGAUGGCUUGAAUUCGGGAGAGGGAUGCAGAAUUCCAGGUGUAGCGGUGAAAUGCAUAGAUACAAUCAAGAACUCCGAUUGCGUAGGCAGCUAACUAGGCUGUAACUGACGCUGAGGCACGAAAGCGUGGGGAGCGAACAGG